rnacentral:rRNA from 1 species
UACGGAGGGUGCAAGCGUUGUUCGGAAUUACUGGGCGUAAAGAGUGCGUAGGCGGCUUGGCAAGUUGGAAGUGAAAUCCCGGGGCUUAACCUCGGAAUUGCUUUCAAAACUGCCUCGCUAGAGUAUGGUAGGGGACAGUGGAAUUCCUAGUGUAGGAGUGAAAUCCGUAGAUAUUAGGAGGAACACCAGAGGCGAAGGCGACUGUCUGGGCCAUUACUGACGCUAAGGUACGAAAGCGUGGGGAGCAAACAGG